rnacentral:rRNA from 1 species
GACGAACGCUGGCGGCGUGCCUAAUACAUGCAAGUCGAGCGGACUUAAAAAGCUUGCUUUUUAAGUUAGCGGCGGACGGGUGAGUAACACGUGGGCAACCUGCCUGUAAGACUGGGAUAGCUUCGGGAAACCGGAGCUAAUACCGGAUAAUCCUUUCCUACUCAUGUAGGAAAGCUGAAAGACGGUUUACGCUGUCACUUACAGAUGGGCCCGCGGCGCAUUAGCUAGUUGGUGAGGUAACGGCUCACCAAGGCGGCGAUGCGUAGCCGACCUGAGAGGGUGAUCGGCCACACUGGGACUGAGACACGGCCCAGACUCCUACGGGAGGCAGCAGUAGGGAAUCUUCCGCAAUGGACGAAAGUCUGACGGAGCAACGCCGCGUGAGUGAUGAAGGUUUUCGGAUCGUAAAACUCUGUUGUUAGGGAAGAACAAGUACGAGAGUAACUGCUCGUACCUUGACGGUACCUAACCAGAAAGCCACGGCUAACUACGUGCCAGCCGCCGCGGUAA